rnacentral:rRNA from 1 species
AGGUACCGUNACCCCCGGUCCCGUUGCUGGGCCGGGUAUUCGUCCCCCCUGACAGUGGUUUACAACCCGAGGGCCUUCAUCCCACACGCGGCGUCGCUGCGUCAGCCUUGCGGCCAUUGCGCAAUAUUCCCCA